rnacentral:misc_RNA from 1 species
UUUCCGUAGGUGAACCUGCGGAAGGAUCAUUAAUGAGAACUAAGGGUAGUAGUCUCGGCUAUUACUCUGAACACUCCACCCUUUGUUUAUAUUACCUUUGUUGCUUUAGCAGGCCCGCUCUCGAGCCGCCGGCACCUGCUGGCUAGUGCCUGCUAAGAACCUAAAACUCUUGUUAAUAAUAUUGUCUGAGUACUAUAUAAUAGUUAAAACUUUCAACAACGGAUCUCUUGGUUCUG